AGUGGGGAAUAUUGGACAAUGGGGGCAACCCUGAUCCAGCAAUGCCGCGUGAGUGAUGAAGGCCUUCGGGUUGUAAAGCUCUUUUGCCAGGGACGAUGAUGACGGUACCUGGAGAAUAAGCCCCGGCUAACUUCGUGCCAGCAGCCGCGGUAAUACGAAGGGGGCAAGCGUUGUUCGGAAUUACUGGGCGUAAAGGGCGCGUAGGCGGCUUACCAAGUCAGGCGUGAAAUUCCCGGGCUCAACCUGGGGGCUGCGCUUGAUACUGAUGAGCUUGAAUGCGGGAGAGGAUAGUGGAAUUCCCAGUGUAGAGGUGAAAUUCGUAGAUAUUGGGAAGAACACCGGUGGCGAAGGCGGCUAUCUGGCCCGUAAUUGACGCUGAGGCGCGAAAGCGUGGGGAGCAAA
rnacentral:rRNA from 1 species